rnacentral:rRNA from 1 species
GACGAACGCUGGCGGCGUGCCUAAUACAUGCAAGUCGAGCGAAUCUUGAGGUGCUUGCACCUCUUGGUUAGCGGCGGACGGGUGAGUAACACGUGGGCAACCUGCCUGUAAGACUGGGAUAACUUCGGGAAACCGGAGCUAAUACCGGAUAAUCCUUUUCCUUUCAUGAGGAAAAGCUGAAAGUCGGUUUUUCGCUGACACUUACAGAUGGGCCCGCGGCGCAUUAGCUAGUUGGUGAGGUAACGGCCCACCAAGGCGACGAUGCGUAGCCGACCUGAGAGGGUGAUCGGCCACACUGGGACUGAGACACGGCCCAGACUCCUACGGGAGGCAGCAGUAGGGAAUCUUCCGCAAUGGACGAAAGUCUGACGGAGCAACGCCGCGUGAGCGAUGAAGGCCUUCGGGUCGUAAAGCUCUGUUGUUAGGGAAGAACAAGUAUCGGAGUAACUGCCGGUACCUUGACGGUACCUAACCAGAAAGCCACGGCUAACUACGUGCCAGCAGCCGCCGUAA